rfam:Colletotrichum gloeosporioides Cg-14 contig01945, whole genome shotgun sequence.
GGGCGUGUAGCUCAGUGGUAGAGCGUCCGCUUUGCAUAUCCUCAGCGAUGUCUGCGGAAGGUCCAGGUUUCGAUCACCUGCCCGUCCA